GGGCCACAUCAAGCUUUGCCUUUUUGCAGUCUGCAUUUCUCUCUGUUGUUAUAUAGAAGCUUUUGCUGUACUUUUUAACCAGGAUGAGUAUUUUUGUGUUUCCGUGCCUCUUGGGUCCCCAGCUAUUCGUGCAGUUGCAGAGCUGGCUACUCUUCUUACACUAGGUUGGUUUCUGUGUUUACUACCUAACUGAGCUGGUUUUAGCUGAGGCUAAACCCUGAUUAAUGACUAUUAAAGCAAAACGGUGCUUUUGCCAAGCAUAGGGGUUAAAUAUAGUUAUGUGCUGAUAAUUGGAUGUGGUAAACAACUCUAUUUUAAUGUCAAUAAUAUUUUAAAGACAACAGUUUAUAGGAAUGAACUAAUCUGCUGUUUAACAUCACAAUGUAGAUGAGCAUGUACCUUACUUUGUACAUGGAUGAAAUAAGACUUGCUCAGUUUGGAAAGGCCUCAUUUUUGCAAGGGAUAGUGUGUCACCAUGGUUGUUACUCUUACAAAUAAGAAUAAAGUACUGAAAGGUGUUGCCUAGAAAGGCUUGCACUUCUGCCAGCUGUGCUUAUGCAAUGUAGUUGGAAGAUGAAGUAACUGAAAGAAACUGUUAUGUAAACAUCAUUACUAGAAUGCUUUCAGAGAUCAAAAGGUAAAUCCCAGAAAGCCUUCAGCAGCCAAAAAUGUUUUCUUUCAUAGAGUAGCAGGGCUGACAACCAAAGACGACACUGGGUCCAUUCCCCUGCCCCAGUUAUAGUUAUGUCACUGUUGGCAUAAAAUUGCCUGAAAGGGCUCUGGGGCAGAAGACUCCACAGUUUGUUUCAGUGCUUCCCUGUCCUUGCUGUCAGCAAAUCCCCUACUAUAUUCUCCAUGCAUCUCUCUUGCAGCCCAUUUAUGCUAUCCACCAGGUCCACAGAGAAGAGCUUACUUUCCUUCUGCACAACAGUCUUUUACAUACCUAAAGAUUGCUGUUACUUCUAUUACAGCUGUUGCUCUUUUUCUAGUCAAAAUUAUAUUUGAAUUGUAUUUCUCUACUUAGAGGUAGCAUUUUCUAGAGCCCUUUAACGUUCCUGCUUCUCUCCUUCUGUGAUUUACCACUCCAGCCAUUGCCCUCACUGAUGCUGAACUGGUUUGUAUGGCUUGUUUGCUGUACUGCAGUACACACCCAAGUAUUGUGGUUUGUUUUUUCUUGCAGUGGUAUAAUCUUUAAUUUCCCAGCCUGUGCUCCCACGCUCCCUUUUGUGCAAAUUGUCUUGAACAUCUUUGAAGCGUUUUUUGCCCUUUUUUAAAAUUUCUGUAAUAAGCAAUAAUAACCUGCAUGUAAAAUUUCUGUGGUCAGGUUCAUUGUAUUUCACCUUGCAUUACUGAGAAGGUUUCUCUGCCUUUGGGUGAUAAUUUGAGCUCUAAUUUUGUCCAGUCCAUUUUCUGGUUGCAGAUUAACUAGACCAAGUCUGCUUGGAACUUGAGAAUCAUUCUAUUUCUACCGGAGACCACUGUUGACUGAUUUCUGGGCAUUUUGUUCAUCCUGUGGUUGCUAUUUCCUUGACAAGCUUAUGAAAAUCAAGGUAUGGAAAGACUUUCUGAAGACAAAUCAAAAACAGUCAUCCUAAAAUGCAAUUACUCAUGACUAGGCAAUUGUGGAAUCUUCUGUUUUGACCUGAAAGUUCUCUGCGUUGCCCUCAAUUCUGCGUUGUUCCCAGUGCCAUACAAUAGUCAUACUGUGUGAGGAAGGAAGGUAUGCAGUACCUGCCCAAGCAGCUCAGAAAUUCGGGAGCAGGGUUGAGGAUGGUGAAGUCUACAGAGCCAGUAGGUAUGUUUAGAACCCAAAUACAUGCUUUGGGGUGCCAGCCUUGCACAUGUUCAAUGUCAGAGCAAGAACAGAGUUGCACAUGUUCUGGCUUCCAGUCUCUACUCCCUGACUUCUCUUCCUCCACAUUAACCCUGCCACCAGCCAGCCUCUGCUUCAGUAACAACAGACAUCUCAGAGGCUAUCAGUGAGAUAAAAGGAAGAGCUGAAAUGGCCAAAGGAAAAGUUUGAGCUCCUCCUCUUCUAGUGUGUUAAGGGGCCAGAUUAUAGGCUGUUAGAUCAUCUGCCUUUGAUAUGUAGCAUGUGUUUUGAGGAGGAGAGGGCAGGGAAAGGGCUUACUUUAUCAUGUAAAGUGCUUUUUUUUCCCACCCAUUUUCUAGCAAGCAUAAACUGAGAUUUGGCCAGGUUUCAGUGACACAGCCUUCAACCUCUGAAACUCAGGUAGGGCUGCUCAUAUAGAUAAUGUGCUUGUAAAUCAGCCGCUGGUUUUGCUGUAUGAGAUUUUAAUUAGUGUUAGAAACUUUCUUUAGGGCUUUUAUUACAAGAAAAAAAAAAUGUAGACAACUAAAGUGCAUUUAACUGCUCAGUGCCAGGAAUUGGGUGCUCUCGGCUUUGUGCUUGUUUUACACGUGGCUCAGUUGUACCAUAGCUCUGCCAAGUGCUGGUCCUAACUAAGUUUAAUUUGAAGGAUGCCAAACAAAAUCAUUUACAAAUUGGUGUGAUAUAUAUAUAUAUAAAGUGAAAUGUGCAAAGAAAACGUGUAAGACAUUUCAUAACGUUAGUUUGCUUUUUGUAUUGUAAUUUCAUAGGAAGUGAAGAAGUGAGAAAAGCAAGCUCAGAGGAUAUCCUUUCUGUGCAUCCCGAAUGCCUUCACAUUACUUCCCAAGUACUCUUCUUACCUUGGCUUAGCGAUGAGAGCAUGGAAAUGAUGUUUCUCUGGUGAUCCUUUUUGCUGUUGUAAGUUGGAAUUUAUUUUUAAAGCAGUGUUUGAAAGAAAUCUGUAUGCUUAACACAAACUGCCUCUCCAAAUCUCUUCUGUAAUGAGUUCUAUGCAGCAAUAACAUUUCCUAAAGGUAUGUGCAUACUUACAAAACACUGCUUUAACCAUUUGGCUGUAAGGGCUUAAUCUGUCUCUAUUAUGUUGCCUACUCAGGGUUUGUGAAGUGGCUUCUGACAUUUCUUUGUGUUAGGUCUGGUUUAUGAAGUGCUUCUCUGAAUGAAUAGUGACUCUGCAUCGAGUGCUGUGCAAAACACAGGGAGGGGAGGUGAUCUAAGCACCCAAGAGCCGAACCAGAAUUCUUCAUGCACCCAAGACAAGCCACUGACAUUGUGCUGGAAGCUUUGUUUGCAAAGAAUAAUGCUGGAUUGCACUAUAAGCAAUGGCUCUUUGCCAAACAAUACACACGUUUCUCUUGGCAUGAAAUCAUGUAAUAUAAACAAUGGCAGGGAAAAAAUAGUUUGUGGAUAAGCAUAAGCUGAGAUAUAAAAACAUCAUGUACAAUAGUGAGCAGUAGGGAGACUGGAAAACGUAACGCAGGUUUCCUUUCUGUUUUGUUCCUUCUUGCUGGCACUCUCGUGAACUGUGCUUAUGGCACUGUCCUUUCCAACUGCAAAAACAUGACUUAACUAUCAAACUGUAUUUCUUAACUACCAAAAUUACUUCCUCAAAAGGAUCCAAACGCCUACUGGUUAUGAGCUGGGAAAGAACUGCACGCCUUAAGCCUGUUAGAAGUUUUGAUAAUGAAGCAGUUUCUAUUUUAUUGGUCUUUCAACAGCAGCUGUUGGUGAUUAGUUAAUCAGAAGUAUCUGUCUUAGUUGAACUUUUUUAAUGACUGGUGCUUGUUCAUGUUCUCGUUUUUUCCAUCUUUCUGGCAGCAGGUGGAGCCAGAAGUUCAGCUUUACACUAAGAGCUUACUGCUGUUGGAGUUCUCUACUCCUGAGGGCUUGCUUUUGUCUUUACCGAUACAAGAAUGUGACCCAGGGUUUGUCUCGCUGCUGGGUGCUGUGUCAAAACGUAGCUUAUGCUGUGCACUCAAGGCCAAUCUUGGGUAGAGGGAACUGCACGAACUGCUUCGUCUAUCUCUAGUAUGAUCAGUACUUGGCAGUUCAUAGUUGUCAGUGUUAGGCUGAUAGGGAUGUAGGACCAUCUGAGAAAGAGGAUGAAGGAAAAAAAGAGGUUUUAUUUCUCAAAGAACUGAAGUAAGGCAAAUCAGAAGGAAAGUGGGGGGUUGUAACAGAACUUGAAAUACUACUUGACAUUAGGAAGUUGCCUUCUGUGGGCAUCCCAGUGGUGCUUUGGUCCAGAGUGAGAGCCAGGACAAGUUGGGUUUCCUGUGUUUGUACAGCAAGAAGUGAGCUUUAUAAAACAUCUACUUUUCCCCUCAGGAAAACAGAUGAGAAAAAUGUGGUGCCAGCAAUGUCAAUCAAUCAAACAGAUCUAGAACUACCCUCAGGGAAACCUCAGCACACCACUGCAUUGACCACUGCUUGGUUGAGGGCUUGGCAUCUGCUCCUGAGGCAUUGCUUUGUCUGCAAGGAGCUGGAGGGGGUUCUUUGGUCCCACUCAGACACUGUGCAGUCAGAGAACUCAUGGGGUCAAGGCAGCCCUGCUUACAGCACUGCUUUGUUUUUCUUUCAAAUACAAGUUCAGAUGCUUUUAUUUUCAUAUUUGGGUUAGUCUGUAUUCAUCCUGCAGCAUCGUGUGCUAACACGGCACAGAUAAGAAGUGACCAUAACAAAUCCUGCCCCGUUGUUUCCCUCCUCAGUGCUGUCUGUCUGUCUGUAUGGUCUUGUUUGCAGAAAUCUGAGCAGGGACUGAGAUGUCUGGAAAAUCCCCAAGCUGUUAUCGGCUCUAGUCCAAAUAAAUAAGAGUAGAAAGCAACUCCCACUCAUUCCUGUAUGAAAUCCUAUUAAUUUUCCAUGAUUUAGGCUAUGUAUAAAGACCUGCAGGAGUAUUGACCCUUUGCACAAUGUGCAAACCAAACAAAGGCCUGGACCUUGGAUGAACUCCCAGUCCUUCCCUGGGGUCUGACACAUGGAGACCUAAUUCUCAACGUAAUACGCUCAUUCGGAAUAGAUGUGAAGUGAGAAUGGGGAAAAGCUGUCUGCAUUGCACAACUCCACUUGAAAUAACAGAAGGAACAGUGUGUAAGGGCAUAAUUCACACUGAGCACCUGACUGAGCUGUAGUUGGCUGUCCAACUCACUGGCUUGUCCUGCAGUGGUGGGGCUGGGGAGUGAACCCCCCUGCCUGGGGGAGAUGAGCAAUGGCUGAGACUGAAAAUCUCCUUUCUGCUCAGCAGGUGCUGUGGCUGCCCUACUGUAGAACCAGUUGCAGCCCCCAGCCAAAGCUCUUCU
rnacentral:lncRNA from 1 species